AUUGAACGCUGGCGGCAGGCUUAACACAUGCAAGUCGAGCGGAGAUGAGGUGCUUGCACCUUAUCUUAGCGGCGGACGGGUGAGUAAUGCUUAGGAAUCUGCCUAUUAGUGGGGGACAACAUUCCGAAAGGAAUGCUAAUACCGCAUACGCCCUACGGGGGAAAGCAGGGGAUCUUCGGACCUUGCGCUAAUAGAUGAGCCUAAGUCGGAUUAACUAGUUGGUGGGGUAAAGGCCUACCAAGGCGACGAUCUGUAGCGGGUCUGAGAGGAUGAUCCGCCACACUGGGACUGAGACACGGCCCAGACUCCUACGGGAGGCAGCAGUGGGGAAUAUUGGACAAUGGGCGGAAGCCUGAUCCAGCCAUGCCGCGUGUGUGAAGAAGGCCUUUUGGUUGUAAAGCACUUUAAGCGAGGAGGAGGCUACCUGGAUUAAUACUCUAGGAUAGUGGACGUUACUCGCAGCAUAAGCACCGGCUAACUCUGUGCCAGCAGCCGCCGUAAAAC
rnacentral:rRNA from 1 species